rnacentral:lncRNA from 1 species
AUUAUUUGGCAAAUCGGCAAUGGAACCCGUGUUAACAUUUGGAAUGACUCGUGGCUCCCUGGUCUAGAAAAUAGUAGAUUACUAUUCCAGAAUUUUAUUCCUCAAUUGAAAACUGUGAACCAAUUAGUUGAGUCAGAAACUGAUACCUAGAAUCAGGAGCUUCUUGGUAGUUUUGUUGAUGAAGAUCAAUUAAAGUGUAUCUUUGCCAUCCCGAUUAAUAGCCAUGGUUUGGAGGAUAUGAUGUUCUGGAAGCAUGACGCUAUUGGGGAGUUCUCUGUUAAGAGCGGUUAUCGAGUUCUACUUACAGAGCUUGAUUAAAAUAAGAGUUACAACCUUCCUAAUGCAGAAAAUUACAUGGGUUUUUAUAAAGCGCUAUGGAUUAUACAAAUUCCUCCUAAAGUAAAAAUCCAUGUGUGGAGGUUGUUUAAAAACUUGGUGCCACAUUUUUGUAAUCUUGUUCAGAGGAAAUUAGUUGCGGAUGUUAUCUUUCCUCUUUACAAGAAAGAUCCGGAGGACUCAGAUCAUCUGCUGUGGUUGUGUUCUAUCUUACGACGUGGCCUUCAAAUCAAGAUGGCUCCGGUUAGGUAUACCUCGAAUUACAAAGUUCAUUUUGUUAAUACAUUUCUUGCAGGUAACGAACAUAAUAAGCAGAUUAUAUCUAUCUCUUUAUGGGCACUAUGGUACCAUAGAAAUAAAUGUAUGUAUGAAGGUGUCAAGUUCUCAUUGCAGGAAACUUUAAGUUUCAUCCGAGGAUAUCAUCAAGAGAUAUGCUUAAGUCAUGAGAAUAUAAAGAGUUUUUCCAGUUCAAUGACAGAAAAGUUAUGGAGACCACCUAAUAAUGGGUUUAUCAAAAUAAACUUUGAUGCAUCUUUUCAAAGAGACUCUUAAACUUCUAUUGCUGCAGUUUUAGUUAGAGACUACAAGUGUGAAGUUGUAGGGGCAAGUACUUACGUUGUUGAAAAUGUGGUCGAUUCUUUUGUGGUCGAAGCAUGAACCCGUGAAAGGGCUUUUGUUUUUUGCGGUCGACAUGGGUUUUUGUCGAAUUAUCUUGGAGAAGGGCUCUCUGACUGUAAUAAAAAAGCUUAAGACAUCUGCGAAAGAUAAAUCCAUUCUCAGAUCGAUUAUUCAUAAUAUUCAUUCUACUGAGAAGAGUUUUGAAAGUGUCUCUUACCUUUUUGUUCCUCGAGAGAUUAACAAGGCGGUUCACACUCUUGCUUUGGAAGGAAGGAGAUGGUAAGUCUCGUGCAAUUGGAUUGAUGGGGUACUCGAAUCGGUGAAAAAAGAUGGUUGUUAUGGAUCGGACGAUUUGGUUCCAGAAUAAGUGAGUUUUAGAGUAUGCUCUGAUUUUGGAAAAGGUUUUUGCGAAUCUCCGUGAUUAUGUUCAGAGCUUUCAAGUUUCUUCCUUUACUCCUCUCAAAUUUGGGUUUCGCAAGAUUGGAAGAAAGUUUGGCUGAUAUUUUCUUUGCUCUGUGACGUUUGGGUUUUGGCAUGUGGCGAUUUAUUUUCUCAUUUAUGGUUUGCUUGUUUUCUAUGUACGUCUUUUUAUCUGGUUUUGUUGAUUGUUUCGAUUUUGUUUGAUUUUGUUUCCUAUGCUUUUCUCUUCUUGUUCUAAUUAGAUGUUGGAGUCAGUUUUUGAGCCGUGUGCCGUUAUUUCUUUCAUUAAU